CUGAAUGGUCCUGGAACACCAAAGUUUUGGAGUGUCUUUGUAUUUUACUGCAUUUGUAAUAUUUUCCAUCUAUGAGAAAUGUUUCAUAUGUGUUUUGUUUUUUUUCAUCUAUAGAUCCAUAUAAUGAUAGAGAGGUGCAGCAGUACCUUCUUUGGAGCAAUGCACAACAUGCAGCAAAAAUGUUCACUGCCCUUUCAAACCGACAAGACAAGACAAAUUGAACGCACACAUUAAAAACCACUUCAAAAAGGCUGUUGUCCAUGGAGAUUUCACUUUGCACAGAUGUGGAUUGGGCUGCAGACCAACACUACACUUCCAUUGUGUCUACUGUACAGCUACAGUUUUAAGAAGAGAUGAUUUUCAGAAUCAUUUAGAUGUUUGUAAAUGGAAGCAGCAUUCCACAUCAUGCAAAAUGCCACCAACCACCACUGCAGCCUUGACAAUACCAGCGCCUCCUGGGACCCCAUCAGCCACCAGCACCCUACGUAACAUGCGCUUACAAAAAAUGACUGCAGUACAUUGAAGUACAACUGUAGAUUUGCUGUAUGAUGAAGUACAGAUACAAUAUAACUACAGUUCAGUGAUACGCUGAAAUGCAUGUGAAGAUUUCAGAUGCAAAAACUUCUAAGUCUGUCUGAUUAAAUUGAUUUUAUUUAUUUUUAUGAGCAUUGUUUUAAAAACACUCCUACGAUUAGGUUCAAUAAUUAAACUUGAAUGUUAAUGAGGUUCUUUUCAUUGCCAUUAAAGUCUUCAUGUAUAGGCUGCAGUUAUACUGUAUUAAUUUGUGCAACAUGUAGCAAGUGCUGUGGUUACAGUAGACUUGGCAAGUGUCUUUUAUUAAAUUUUUUGUAAUGUAGACUUCCUAUUAAAUAUUUCGUACAAAAAUAUUUUUGUACAAAAAAAAAAAAAAAAUUUGCCUAUGGAAUAUUUCACCCGCAUAGAUGAAUAGUCCACACGCGUGAUCUUCCUUCGCGCAAACAAGUCUCGCAAGCAGCUGAUUACUUGUAACGGCGUCUUUUACGUAGUGUCUACUGCAGAAUGGAUAUAAAAGUAUAAAAUAUGUUUUGGUUUGACAACAUUGUUCAUAUCUGAACUAUCACAAUUAAAGCACAAAGACAUAACAACAUUACACUCCGAGACCUUUCACAAGUGCGACAAAAGAGAAGAAACGCUUUCCAGAAGAAGUUCAUCAGGCGAGUUGGAGACUAGUUGACUCAUCCAGUUUAGCGGUGAGUAUAAUGUCUAAUGUCCUCAUAUAUCUUUAGUUAUAAUUUUAGAGAGAUGUAAAAAGACUUGACGGAUAUCUUAUUCAACCCGCUGAGAUGAGAAGAAACGCUGCUUCAGUGCUGAUCUGUAGCGCUCGCGGGUCUGUGCACAGAACACACAGAACUGAAGUCUGAGAGGAAGACAAAACAACUGGUUUAAUGCUGUUUUUACUAUAAUAAAACAAAUUACAAUUACAUUAUAAAAUGUCAAAAUCUCAUCUAAUAAAACAUCAACAUCUCAAUCCAACUAUAGUGACAACCCUGUGUAUAGAUGUAUUUAACUCUGCUGUGGCUCAGCAAUUUGUUUUAAGCAGAUCUGUAGAAAUGAGUCAUGUCUUUGUCCAGCUCAGUUCAGUUCUCAAUAGCAUCAGUGCAUCAUUUACAAUAAUGGAAUAAACAAAACUGCACUGAAUGUAAUGUGUAUUUGUCUGUUUCUAGGAGAGCAUCAACGCCUAAUUGACAUGAGGAAUAAAUCAUUGAAAAGUGUUCAGCGUUUGCAACAGAGGAAGCAUUAGGAAAGAGGAGAAGAGAGAAAGUGAAAAUGUUGGUGAGACUUGAUUUCUGGAAAUGCAUUAAAGUUCACUCACAUUCAGCCACAAAUGUAAACCUGAUUUUAGAUGGUAUUUAAAUGAGAUUAAUAACUCCAGCUACUUGUAGGCCUACAGCCCUGUAUAUUUCACACUAAAUAAAUUGUGAUGAACAGUGGCGGCUCCAGGAUUUUUUUGUUAGGGGUGCUAAGGAGGGGCUUAACAGUUCAAAGGGGGUGCUAAAAAAAAUAAUUAAACUGAGAGAAACUGUGUAACAUUCACCGUGAUUUUAUGUGUUUUUCCCCAUCUAUAGAUCCAUAUAACGAUUCAGAGAGGUGCAGCAGUACCUUCUUUGGAGCAAUGCACAACAUGCAGCAAAAAUGUUCACUGCCCUUUUUGUGUUAGCAGUAUUUUCAAACCGACAAGACAAGACAAAUUGAACGCACACAUUAAAAACCACUUCAAAAAGGCCGUUGUCCAUGGAGUUAACCUGUCAAAUAGAGACACCUUCACUUAUCUGAUACCUACCUCAUGGUCUCCUUCUGUUCCGUGAGAGAAGACCAGACCUCAAUAUGGAUUAUAAUAAUGACUCUCCAGAGGAGUAUCUGCUGCUUCAUCUCCGCCAAGAUGGCCGUCCCCUGGAGAGUUAUGUGGAGGAGUUUGUUGAGCAUGUCCAUCUGGUAAGUUGGAGCGAUUCUGUUCUGAAUCACAUUUUGCUGAGUGGGCUGGAUGACGAUCUGCUAAUCAUCCUUAUGCU